UGGGGAAUAUUGCACAAUGGGCGCAAGCCUGAUGCAGCCAUGCCGCGUGUAUGAAGAAGGCCUUCGGGUUGUAAAGUACUUUCAGCGAGGAGGAAGGCGUUGUGGUUAAUAACCGCAGCGAUUGACGUUACUCGCAGAAGAAGCACCGGCUAACUCCGUGCCAGCAGCCGCGGUAAUACGGAGGGUGCAAGCGUUAAUCGGAAUUACUGGGUGUAAAGCGCACGCAGGCGGUCUGUCAAGUCGGAUGUGAAAUCCCCGGGCUCAACCUGGGAACUGCAUCCGAAACUGGUAGGCUAGAGUCUUGUAGAGGGGGGUAGAAUUCCAGGUGUAGCGGUGAAAUGCGUAGAGAUCUGGAGGAAUACCGGUGGCGAAGGCGGCCCCCUGGAGAAAGACUGACGCUCAGGUGCGAAAGCGUGGGGAGCAAACA
rnacentral:rRNA from 1 species